CAGCAGCCGCGGUAAUACAGAGGGUGCGAGCGUUAAUCGGAUUUACUGGGCGUAAAGCGCACGCAGGCGGUCUGUUAAGUCAGAUGUGAAAUCCCCGGGCUUAACCUGGGAACUGCAUUUGAAACUGGCAGGCUAGAGUCUUGUAGAGGGGGGUAGAAUUCCAGGUGUAGCGGUGAAAUGCGUAGAGAUCUGGAGGAAUACCGGUGGCGAAGGCGGCCCCCUGGACAAAGACUGACGCUCAGGUGCGAAAGCGUGGGGAGCAAACAGGAUUAGAUACCCGAGUAGUCCCUGUCUCUUAUAA
rnacentral:rRNA from 1 species